rnacentral:rRNA from 1 species
CCUACGGGGGGCAGCAGUGAGGAAUAUUGGUCAAUGGGCGUAAGCCUGAACCAGCCAAGUCGCGUGAGGGAUGAAGGUUCUAUGGAUCGUAAACCUCUUUUAUAAGGGAAUAAAGUGUGGGACGUGUCUUGUUUUGUAUGUACCUUAUGAAUAAGGAUCGGCUAACUCUGUGCCAGCAGCCGCGGUAAUACGGAGGAUUCGAGCGUUAUCCGGAUUUAUUGGGUUUAAAGGGUGCGUAGGUGGCCUUUUAAGUCAGCGGUGAAAGUCAGUGGCUCAACCAUAGAAUUGCCGUUGAAACUGGGAGGCUUGAGUGUGUUAGAGGCAGGCGGAAUGCGUGGUGUAGCGGUGGAAUGCUUAGAUAUCAGGAAGAACCCCGAUUGCGAAGGCGGCCUGCCAAGCCAUGACUGACGCUGAUGCACGAAAGCGUGGGGAUCAAACAGGAUUAGAUACCCGAGUAGUC